UACUUUUAUUUACUAUAUACAAACAUACAGCAAUAUCUUUUCCAGUUUAUUCAUUAUUCCUUAAUUCAAAAAUAUUUAUAAUGAACACAAAAGAGUAAGAAUAUUUCGGGUCCGACAGCUUGGAACAAAGCUCGGAAUUAUAAGAAUGUGUCUGGGUUGGCAUAUAUUCGUAACUUCGUUCGAAAAAAAACUGUGUAAUAAAUCUCAAAUGUAGAAUACUUUAUUCAAACAAACUUCAUCAUCUUAUUUAGUUAAAAAUUCGCCAAUUCAAGAAUGGUACCCUUCCAGGGCACCUGAGAUCACCCCUAGUUUUUGGUGGGGUUCGUGUUGUUUAUUCUUUAGUUUUCUAUGUUGUGUCAUGAGUACUAUUGUUUUUCUGUUUGUCUUUUUCAUUUUUAGCCAUGGCGGUGUCAGUUUGUUU
rnacentral:lncRNA from 1 species